rnacentral:rRNA from 1 species
CCCCGCCCGCCGCGCGCGGCGGGCGGGGCGGGGGCACGGGGGGACUCCUACGGGAGGCAGCAGUGGGGAAUAUUGGACAAUGGGCGAAAGCCUGAUCCAGCCAUGCCGCGUGUGUGAAGAAGGCCUUCGGGUUGUAAAGCACUUUAAGUUGGGAGGAAGGGCAUUAAGUUUAAAACCGCGGCGAUUGACGUUACUGGCAGAGUAGCACGGCAUCUUGG